UACGGGGGGGGCAAGCGUUGUUCGGAAUUACUGGGCGUAAAGGGCGCGUAGGCGGCCGCCUAAGUCAGACGUGAAAUCCCUCGGCUCAACCGGGGAACUGCGUCUGAUACUGGGUGGCUUGAAUCCGGGAGAGGGAUGCGGAAUUCCAGGUGUAGCGGUGAAAUGCGUAGAUAUCUGGAGGAACACCGGUGGCGAAGGCGGCAUCCUGGACCGGUAUUGACGCUGAGGCGCGAAAGCCAGGGGAGCAAACGGG
rnacentral:rRNA from 1 species